rnacentral:rRNA from 1 species
GACGUAGGGCGCGAGCGUUGUCCGGAUUUAUUGGGCGUAAAGAGCUCGUAGGCGGCUUGUCGCGUCGAAUGUGAAAUCUCAGGGCUCAACUCUGACAUUGCAUGCGAUACGGGCAGGCUAGAGUUCGGUAGGGGAGACUGGAAUUCCUGGUGUAGCGGUGAAAUGCGCAGAUAUCAGGAGGAACACCGGUGGCGAAGGCGGGUCUCUGGGCCGAUACUGACGCUGAGGCGCGAAAGCGUGGGGAGCAAACAGG